CCUACGGGAGGCAGCAGUGGGGAAUAUUGCACAAUGGGCGAAAGCCUGACGCAGCGACGCCGCGUGAGGGAUGAAGGUCUUCGGAUCGUAAACCUCUGUCAGCAGGGAAGAACGGUCACUGUGCUAAUCAGCAGUGAAUUGACGGUACCUGCAAAGGAAGCACCGGCUAACUCCGUGCCAGCAGCCGCGGUAAUACGGAGGGUGCGAGCGUUAAUCGGAAUUACUGGGCGUAAAGCGCUCGUAGGCGGUAUGUCAAGUCAAGGGUGAAAUCCCCGCGCUCAACGUGGGAACUGCCUUUGAAACUGGCAAACUGGAGUGUGUGAGAGGAUAGUGGAAUGCCAGGUGUAGGAGUGAAAGCCGUAGAUAUCUGGAGGAACAUCAGUGGCGAAGGCGACUAUCUGGCACAUAACUGACGCUGAGGAGCGAAAGCGUGGGUAGCAAACAGGAUUAGAUACCCUUGUAGUC
rnacentral:rRNA from 1 species